CCUUCACCUCGGUCUGCAUGGUUCCCAGCUCCGCAAAUCCAACUUUUCUGUACAUUUCCACGUCACCUGGACGCCAAACAUAAAUUUGGCAUCCUAUGCAAAUAUAUGCUGACGUAAAAGAUCAUGUGGUUUUUGUCGUCGAUCCCCCCUAUGAGCAACGAGGAGGCUUUUUUUUUUUUCUCCUCUCUACUGUUGUCUUUAGGUUAGCUAUGCUACAAUCUUUACUGUACCCAGCGCUAGCUAUAUGCGCUCCGCACCGCACCACUCUGGAUAUCUGGGAAUAAUCAACUUCCAGCCCGUCGCUCCCCGCAACUACGCCUCACUCACAGACACCUGAGAAGAAUACUCCGAGUGCUGCUGGUUCCAGAAAAGUUCAAUACAAAGAAGAUAGAAGAAGCGAGGAGGAAGAGAAGGACGGAGGAGGAGGUGGAAGCUCAAAAUAAAGCCCCGCCCACCCCGGUGAAGCCCCUCCCCUUUGAGGAAGUGCUGAAACGUGUAGAGGACCUCUUUUAACCAGCUGAGCAGCAGUGCCCAGGAACAGAUCAGAAAGCGCAGCAAUCCAAAGGAAACAUGGUAAGGAGAACAGC